rnacentral:rRNA from 1 species
UACGUAGGAGGCAAGCGUUGUCCGGAAUUACUGGGCGUAAAGCGCGUGUAGGUGGUGGGACAAGUCUGCUGUGAAAGCGCCUGGCUUAACCGGGCGAGGUCGGCGGAAACUGUCCGACUAGAGGACGGUAGGAGGGGGGUGGAAUUCCCGGUGUAGUGGUGAAAUGCGUAGAGAUCGGGAGGAACACCUGUGGCGAAGGCGGCCCCCUGGGCCGGCCCUGACACUGAGACGCGAAGGCGUGGGGAGCGAACAGG